rnacentral:rRNA from 1 species
AAACAUUUCAUUACACCGCCUUGCCGAUUUCUAAGCUGGCAAAGGCUAUCUCAAACUAACCAAAACCCACACACAAUCUUCUAAGAAUAGAAACUUAAGGCUCUGGCGUAGCCCAAAACUGGGGUUAAUUCUCGAUGGGUGAGGAGGCCUGGAAUGGUUCUCCACUGAAAGGGCGCUAGAGGCAUGCUCUCUAACGUUGCCCAAGGAUGGGGCCGCGGCCGAUCAGGUUGUUGGUGAGGUAACGGCUUACCAAGCCUUAUAACCGGUACGGCCGUGAGAGCGGAGCCCGAGAUGGCACUGAGAUAAGGCCCAGGCCUACGGGGCGCAGCAGUUGCGAAAACUCGCCAAUGCACGAAAGUGUGAGCGGGCUACCCCGAGUGCCGUCCGCUGAGGAUGGCUUUUCUCUGCUGUAAGGAGGCGGAGGAAUAAGGAGAGGGCAAGACUGGUGUCAGCCGCCGCGGUAAUACCAGCUCUCCGAGUGGUAGGGGUGAUUAUUGGGCUUAAAGCGUCCGUAGCCGGCCUAGCAAGUCUUCCGUUAAAUCCAGCAACCCAAUUGUUGGGCUGCGGGGGAUACUGUUAGGCUAGGGGGCGGGAGAGGCCGACGGUAUUCUCGGGGUAGGGGUGAAAUCUUAUAAUCCCGGGAGGACCACCAGUGGCGAAGGCUGUCGGCUAGCACGCGCCUGACGGUGAGGGACGAAAGCUGGGGGAGCGAACCGGAUUAGAUACCCGGGUAGUCCCUGCUGUAAACGAUGCGUGCUAGGUGUUGGGGCGGCUACGAGCCGCUUCAGUGCCGCAGCGAAGGCGUUAAGCUCGCCGCCUGGGGAGUACGGCCGCAAGGCUGAAACUUAAAGGAAUUGGCGGGGGAGCA